GGCUGCACGUGCUCAACCACAGAUAGCUGGCGCCAAGGCUGCGCAUGCACAACAGGAGAUAGGUGGAGCCAAGGCUGCGCACGCACAACAAGAGAUAGGUGGAGCCACGGCUGCGCACGCACAAGAGGAGAUAGGUGGCGCCAAGGCUGCGCACGCACAACAGGAGAUAGGUGGCGCCAAGGCUGCACGUGCUCAACCACAGAUAGGUGGAGCCAAGGCUGCGCAUGCACAACAGGAGAUAGCUGGCACCAAGGCUGCGCGUGCACAACAGGAGAUAGCUGGAGCCAAGGCUGCGCGUGCUCAACCACAGGUAGCUGGCGCCAAGGCUGCGCACGCACAACAGGAGAUAGCUGGAGCCAAGGCUGCGCAUGCUCAACCACAGGUAGGUGGAGCCAAGGCUGCGCGUGCACAACAGGAGAUAGCUGGCGCCAAGGCUGCGCACGCACAACAG